AUUGAACGCUGGCGGCAUGCUUUACACAUGCAAGUCGAACGGUAACAGGCCUUCGGGUGCUGACGAGUGGCGAACGGGUGAGUAAUGCAUCGGAACGUGCCCAGAGGUGGGGGAUAACGCAGCGAAAGCUGUGCUAAUACCGCAUGUGAUCUGAGGAUGAAAGCGGGGGACCAAGCAGCAAUGUUUGGCCUCGCGCCUCUGGAGCGGCCGAUGUCAGAUUAGGUAGUUGGUGGGGUAAAGGCCUACCAAGCCGACGAUCUGUAGCUGGUCUGAGAGGACGACCAGCCACACUGGGACUGAGACACGGCCCAGACUCCUACGGGAGGCAGCAGUGGGGAAUUUUGGACAAUGGGCGCAAGCCUGAUCCAGCAAUGCCGCGUGCGGGAAGAAGGACUUCGGGUUGUAAACCGCUUUUGUACGGAACGAAAAGGCUCUGGCUAAUACCUGGGGCUGAUGACGGUACCGUAAGAAUAAGCACCGGCUAACUACGUG
rnacentral:rRNA from 1 species